AUUCCUUUCAAGUCAACUUUCUUGUACUAGUUUAUCAUUGCGCUUUACAUGUCUCUGUUGUUCUUUGGGUAUGCUAAGGUUUGGUUCUCAUUAUUUCUUUGCCUUCUUCGUGCUUAAAGUUGGAUUAACCUUUCGCAAGGAAACAAGGACAGUCUGAAUUAUAUUUAUAAAAACCUUGUUAUGACUUGGAUUCACGCAUAAUGAAAAUUGAAAAGUAACUUGAAGAUCAAUACUUG
rnacentral:misc_RNA from 1 species